AUUGAACGCUGGCGGCAUGCUUUACACAUGCAAGUCGAACGGUAACAGGCCGCAAGGUGCUGACAUGUGGCGAACGGGUGAGUAAUGCAUCGGAACGUGCCCAGUCGUGGGGUAUAACGCAGCGAAAGCUGUGCUAAUACCUCAUACGAUCCAGGGAUGAAAGCGGGGGACCGUAAGGCCCGGCGCGAUUGGAGCGGCCGAUGUCAGAUUAGGUAGUUGGUGGGGUAAAGGCUCACCAAGCCAACGAUCUGUAGCUGGUCUGAGAGGACGACCAGCCACACUGGGACUGAGACACGGCCCAGACUCCUACGGGAGGCAGCAGUGGGGAAUUUUGGACAAUGGGCGCAAGCCUGAUCCAGCAAUGCUGCGUGCAGGAAGAAGGCCUUCGGGUUGUAAACUGCUUUUGUACGGAACGAAACGGCGAGCUCUAAUACAGUUUGCUAAUGACGGUACCGUAAGAAUAAGCACCGGCUAACUGCGUGCCAGCCGCCGCAGUAA
rnacentral:rRNA from 1 species